rnacentral:rRNA from 1 species
UGGCGGCAGGCCUAACACAUGCAAGUCGAGCGGAUGAAGAGAGCUUGCUCUCUGAUUCAGCGGCGGACGGGUGAGUAAUGCCUAGGAAUCUGCCUGGUAGUGGGGGACAACGUUUCGAAAGGAACGCUAAUACCGCAUACGUCCUACGGGAGAAAGCAGGGGACCUUCGGGCCUUGCGCUAUCAGAUGAGCCUAGGUCGGAUUAGCUAGUUGGUGAGGUAAUGGCUCACCAAGGCGACGAUCCGUAACUGGUCUGAGAGGAUGAUCAGUCACACUGGAACUGAGACACGGUCCAGACUCCUACGGGAGGCAGCAGUGGGGAAUAUUGGACAAUGGGCGAAAGCCUGAUCCAGCCAUGCCGCGUGUGUGAAGAAGGUCUUCGGAUUGUAAAGCACUUUAAGUUGGGAGGAAGGGCAUUAACCUAAUACGUUAGUGUUUUGACGUUACCGACAGAAUAAGCACCGGCUAACUCUGUGCCAGCAGCCGCGGUAAUACAGAGGGUGCAAGCGUUAAUCGGAAUUACUGGGCGUAAAGCGCGCGUAGGUGGUUUGUUAAGUUGGAUGUGAAAGCCCCGGGCUCAACCUGGGAACUGCAUUCAAAACUGACAAGCUAGAGUAUGGUA